CCCUCUCAGUUAUUAUUAUAGCCACAGCCAUUUACCCUCUCAGUUAUUAUUUUAGCCACAGCCAUUUACCCUCUCAGUUAUUAUUUUAGCCACAGCCAUUUACCCUCUCAGUUAUUAUUAUAGCCACAGCCAUUUACCCUCUCAGUUAUUAUUUUAGCCACAGCCAUUUACCCUCUCAGUUAUUAUUAUAGCCACAGCCAUUUACCCUCUCAGUUAUUAUUUUAGCCACAUCCAUUCACUGUCUUAAUUACUAUCCAUAUCAAAGCUGUGGGCUCCGCUCCACUUCACUGACUGUUUUCUGUGCAGCGAGAAUCUCUCGGUUCUGUUAAAUGCUGAUGAGGAACAUGAUUCUGAAACCUGCUGUAAAUACAUGAGCCGAAAUGCAAGUAGAUUCCUAGCCCCUGUGAACGUUAGAUCUGAAAGCAUUGGAUUAGCAGUAUGUUAAACCCUGUAGCGCAUCUUGUCUUUUGAUAGGCUAGCUGGAAUUGUUGCCAUAAUGCUUACUGUCUCUGUGACACCCUUUCAGUUUAGAUCUGUGUACGGACUGUCUGUCUAGGGGAAGUGUGUAGGGUAUAGGGGUUAGGGCUAGGGAUCGAUCUGGGAUUGGUCAAUGAGAUAAGAAUGGACUGAUGCGUUACAAUACUGGACACUUCAGAUGACCAGACCAUGUGACCUGAACUGGACAUCUCUUGUUUUACUCAAAUUUAAAAAUUAAAAAUAAACAUUUAAAAAGAACAUUGACAAAAUGCAAGGAUUCAUACAAAACACACUUUUUAAAAAGACAACUAAUGUACAAAACAUUCUCCAUUACAAAAACCGAGUGAAAUGUUUUAGGAGAGCAGUGCUCGGGUGAAAUGACUAGCCACAUUAUUUACACGUUUGCUUCAUUUUUGUCCAGAUCAUUUAGAACACUACCAGAUCACACCAAUGAAGAAGAAAUGGUUUGGUGGUGGUGACACUGUGAUGAGGUAGAACAUAACUAAAAGACUGUUUGUGCCAUCAUGCUAAUCCCUGUCACUCACAGACACUCAGGAUUCUCCUCACUAUCUGUCUCAACUCAGUCUAUUCUGUCUGAAGUACUACUAGUUGGUAUAUGGCAGACAGAGUCCAUGAUUCAUCUAUUUGUCAAUUUCCAAGCAUUCUCUACGCUAUGGGACUACUUCGCCCAAUGCAGACCGCAGACACACACAGGCGCUGAAGUUAAUCCUGACUGUUCUGUGCGAUAGCUGAACCUGGAAUUUCCUGUGACUGAACACCUUGAGUGUGGAAUAUACUCCCUCUUUCUACCUACCUCCCUCCCUCUCUUUUUCUCCCCCUCCCUCCCUC
ensembl:lncRNA